rnacentral:rRNA from 1 species
GGAGACUUUGAUCCUGGCUCAGAUUGAACGCUGGCGGCAGGCCUAACACAUGCAAGUCGAGCGGAUGAGUGGAGCUUGCUCCAUGAUUCAGCGGCGGACGGGUGAGUAAUGCCUAGGAAUCUGCCUGGUAGUGGGGGACAACGUUUCAAAAGGAACGCUAAUACCGCAUACGUCCUACGGGAGAAAGCAGGGGACCUUUCGGGGCCUUGCGCUAUCAGAUGAGCCUAGGUCGGAUUAGCUAGUAGGUGAGGUAAUGGCUCACCUAGGCGACGAUCCGUAACUGGUCUGAGAGGAUGGUCAGUCACACUGGAACUGAGACACGGUCCAGACUCCUACGGGAGGCAGCAGUGGGGAAUAUUGGACAAUGGGCGAAAGCCUGGUCCAGCCAUGCCGCGUGUGUGAAGAAGGUCUUCGGAUUGUAAAGCACUUUAAGUUGGGAGGAAGGGCAGUAAGUUAAUACCUUGCUGUUUUGACGUUACCAACAGAAUAAGCACCGGCUAACUUCGUGCCAGCAGCCGCGGUAAUACGAAGGGUGCAAGCGUUAAUCGGAAUUACUGGGCGUAAAGCGCGCGUAGGUGGUUCAGCAAGUUGGAGGUGAAAUCCCCGGGCUCAACCUGGGAACUGCCUCCAAAACCACUGAGCUAGAGUACGGUAGAGGGUAGUGGAAUUUCCUGUGUAGCGGUGAAAUGCGUAGAUAUAGGAAGGAACACCAGUGGCGAAGGCGACUACCUGGACUGAUACUGACACUGAGGUGCGAAAGCGUGGGGAGCAAACAGGAUUAGAUCCCCUGGUAGUCCACGCCGUAAAC